ACGCUCGACACCUACGGGAGGCAGCAGGUGGGGAAUAUUGCACAAGUGGGGGAAACCCUGAUGCAGCGACGCCGCGUGAGUGAAGAAGUAUUUCGGUAUGUAAAGCUCUAUCAGCAGGGAANAAAUGACGGUACCUGACUAAGAACGCCCCGGCUAACUACGUACCAGCAGCCGCGGUAAUCUGAGCGGGCUGGCAAGGC
rnacentral:rRNA from 1 species